rnacentral:tRNA from 1 species
GGCCCUGUAGACCAAUUGGCAGAGUCAUUUGGCUUAAACCCAAAGGGUACAAGUUCGAAUCUUGUCAGGGCCACUA